AUUGAACGCUGGCGGCAGGCCUAACACAUGCAAGUCGAGCGGAUGAAGGGAGCUUGCUCCUGGAUUCAGCGGCGGACGGGUGAGUAAUGCCUAGGAAUCUGCCUGGUAGUGGGGGAUAACGUCCGGAAACGGGCGCUAAUACCGCAUACGUCCUGAGGGAGAAAGUGGGGGAUCUUCGGACCUCACGCUAUCAGAUGAGCCUAGGUCGGAUUAGCUAGUUGGUGGGGUAAAGGCCUACCAAGGCGACGAUCCGUAACUGGUCUGAGAGGAUGAUCAGUCACACUGGAACUGAGACACGGACAAGACUCCUACGGGACGCAGCAGUGGGGAAUAUUGGACAAUGGGCGAAAGCCUGAUCCAGCCAUGCCGAGUGUGAGAAGAAGGUCUUCGGAGUGUAAAGACCGUUAAGUUGGGGGGAAGGGCAGUAAGUUAAUACCUUGCUGUUGUGACGGUACCAACAGAAUAAGCACCGGCUAACUUCGUG
rnacentral:rRNA from 1 species